CUGAAUGUCAUAUGAAGAAAACAUCAUUUUUUUUUUCCCAGCUAAACAGCAUGACAGUGCAUUAUGUAGUAAAAGGAAUCUGUAAUGUUGGAGGCAUAUCUUGAGUAAAUUUGCUGUAAAUAGAAAUGAAAAAUUAUUUGUAAAGAGUAUAUUUACAUUGCAGUCAUAAAAAUAAACAGUACUGACAAGGAGUUGUCAUCAAAGACACUUUUAUAGGCUUAAGAAUUCACCCUGAUGCUUUGCUUACUGACUUUUUUUGGUGUUAAUCCUUUUUGUAGUGUUGUAUGUGAUUGCCUGCAAAAUGUGUCCUUGUAUACCUAGCUGUCUUUGUUUAGAGUUUUAUGGUAGGAAAAUAUGGAUCUACGUCUUCUGCUUUUUAUGAAUAGAGAGAAAAUGUGUAGGAUUUUAUUUCCACCACUUAUCUUUUUUUUUUGAGGUUAAACGUUUAUUUAAAAGCAAGGUAAUGAACUGUUCCCAUCAUGUGACGUUUUAGUGUCAUUAUGUAGUGCUUUGAAAUUCAAUAGUUUCCAAGAAUUAUACCAAAACUGUUGCUGAGAUUUUAUUGUGCAGGUAAUUAUGUGUGGGAUAUAUGUAUCAGCUCCAAAAGGGCUCAAAUGCUUUUAUAGACAGGCUUAAAUCACAAUUUUUUCUUCUAUCAACAAAGCAAUCUAACAGUGCACAGAGAACAGUGGAUAAGACCUUCGAUAUCACUGCUGUAAUAAUUCAAAGUGUUACUUGUAGUAAUAGUGAAAAUAUUUUUGGCCACAAGAAAGAAGUUGUGAAGUUCUAAAGAUUAUUUCAUGCUCAUCUGACAGCUGUUUUCAUUAUUUUCACCUCAGAGGUAAUGAAAUGGCUAAUUUAUUAUGUAAGUGUGUUUGUUUUCAAAGAAAACAUUUGUGACUUGCUUGACUGCAAUGUGACUCUGGUUAAGUGAGUGAGCCAGAUCUCAGUGGUGUUCUCGCAUAGAUGGAACUGUAAGUGAUUUGUGCCCUAGUUAUUCAAAGCACAUGCGUGAGUAUGUUGUGGACAUAAGCACAGACAUAAGUAUAUAAAUCAGGCUGUCUUUCCAGCCAUCCAUGAAAAAGUCACUUGUCACUCCCUUUUGAGGAGGAAAUGCAUCUCAUCACCUGUCAGUUCAGACUUCUUUAAUAAGUAGUUUCCAGUUUUAUCAUUUUAUUCAAUUAAAAAUCUAUCAACAGAUAUUUGCUAUACUCUUCAUUGAUUCCCCCAUUGUUCUCCAGUUCUUCCAUGUUUUUUGUCAUUUCAUCUUUUGUGCAUAGAAUAGCAGGGCGUUCAAAUUGAUGAUAAUUAUUUCUGUGCUUCUCAGAAGGUCCAUAGAAUCCUAGAAUCAUUAAGAUUGGAGAAGAUCACUAAGCUCAUCUGAACCAACGAUGAAGCAAAAUAGCAUUAAACAGAGAAGAGAUAAACCAAGUGUUUAGCAUGAGACAUUUGACGCGAUAUCCAGCUCCUCUGUUGUGAGGGUGGUGUCAGGGUUGUAUUGAGAAGAGCUCACAAAGACCUCCAAAACGUCCCUUGAACUCUGUGAAGCAAAUCUGUGUGCUGAAUCAGAGAGAUGGUGUAUGGUAACCACUGAUCUUCCACCAGUACUGCAGCCCAUUCUCUAGGGGCAAGUAGGCCCCUGCAAUGUGGGAUGAGGAUGUGGCUCCACAAGGAGUACUCGCUGUAGUCGUAAUGCUGUUGCUGUAAUAUUGUGCAUUUACUGUCUCACACAAUCUGAGUUGAUUAGAAUGUGUUGUGUCUUUAAAACAUUGUUUCAAAAGUUAUUUUUAUGAAUGAGUUGAAAAUUAAUUUUUAAGUAUGCCUGUCUAGAUUGAAAAAAAUAAGUUGGAAAUAUCCAGAUUGCAGGGUAGUAAAAUCAAUCUUCUUAUGUUAGGCAUGAGUCAUAAGAUCACCAUGCUUGAUUGGUUGAUCUGCCACAGUUACACAUAACUACAGCCUUUAGUCUGUGAGGCUUCAAUGCAGAAAGCAAUGUUAUUUGCACCAAGACUUUACCACAGUCAACAGAGUGCCAAUUGGAUGACACAGUUACUUAUUACUUUCUUAAUCCCACACGGUUUUCUAAUAAUAUUUCAGAAGGCCUAGUAUCCUCUGGGUCAUAUGAUGUGUCAUCCUGGUUCAUGUAUCACAUACUUCCAGUUCUAUGCCAAAAAAAAUCUCUCAGCUGAAAACUGCACUACAGCUUUUGUAAUAAUUAAAUUAAGGGGGCAAAGAGCUUAUACAAAUAUGCUAAGGCCAAGGAUGCACAACAGAGGCCCUAAGACACUUUUGCUGUGCAUCAAGUAAUGUGGACGUGGUGCUUUAGGUCUAGGAGGGACUAGAACUGAGCAGUGUUGACACAAGAGGUUCUGCAUCCGUGGACUUUAAGUACAGACAUCCCUUCUGGCCUAGGUGCUUACAUCAGUACAGAUGUAAAGUUGCAUCGAGAGGCUGAUUUGGAUGAUAAGUAAUGCUGUGUAAGAUGGCAGCAAGAAAGCAAAACAUUGUGGGUCGCACUAUUCCCAUUUCAAAUUAGCUGUGCUGCUUCACAUAGUCUUUUCACUGCUACAUUACACUGAUCUGCAUGUCAUUUGGUUUCUUUAGCAAUGUUUUCACUUUCUAAGGAAAAAUGACCUUGAAUCCAAGUAAAAUGGAUCACUCCAACAUUUAGUAAGACUUAAGUUUUCUAAGUGAGGUCUUAAUCUACAGGUAAAAGUAGCCUGAGGGUUUAUUUUUUAUUUUUUUUAAUUUUCAGUAUGUGCAUCUGUUUAUCAAAAUGAAGUAAAUUUUUCUCUUCAGACAUGUCUUUGAAUAUGUCUGGAUAGAAAUUUGCUGUGUAUGUUGGGUUAUGUGAUUAAGGUCUGGCAACUCCUAUCAAAGCUGACACAAAGGAGAAAGAAUAGUCUCUGUCAAAUAUUGGAAUUGGAUUAUAGAAUAUUUUCUACUUACAACAGAAUUAUGCAUAACUGCAGCCAUAGAAUUUACCUACACUCAGAGCCACAUAUAAAUACAUGCACAUGAAAAUCUGAUGUGUUUUAUUAAGGAGUUGUUCACACAUCCUCUUCUGACUGUAACUGUGCU
rnacentral:lncRNA from 1 species